CCUGAUCCAGCCAUACCGCGUGGGUGAAGAAGGCCUUCGGGUUGUAAAGCCCUUUUGUUGGGAAAGAAAUCCAGCCGGCUAAUACCUGGUUGGGAUGACGGUACCCAAAGAAUAAGCACCGGCUAACUUCGUGCCAGCAGCCGCGGUAAUACGAAGGGUGCAAGCGUUACUCGGAAUUACUGGGCGUAAAGCGUGCGUAGGUGGUCGUUUAAGUCCGUUGUGAAAGCCCUGGGCUCAACCUGGGAACUGCAGUGGAUACUGGGCGACUAGAGUGUGGUAGAGGGUAGCGGAAUUCCUGGUGUAGCAGUGAAAUGCGUAGAGAUCAGGAGGAACAUCCAUGGCGAAGGCAGCUACCUGGACCAACACUGACACUGAGGCACGAAAGCGUGGGGAGCAAACAGGAUUAGAUACCCUGGUAGUCCACGCCCUAAACGAUGCGAACUGGAUGUUGGGUGCCAUUUGGCACGCAGUAUCGAAGCUAACGCGUUAAGUUCGCCGCCUGGGGAGUACGGUCGCAAGACUGAAACUCAAAGGAAUUGACGGGGGCCCGCACAAGCGGUGGAGUAUGUGGUUUAAUUCGAUGCAACGCGAAGAACCUUACCUGGCCUUGACAUGUCGAGAACUUUCCAGAGAUGGAUUGGUGCCUUCGGGAACUCGAACACAGGUGCUGCA
rnacentral:rRNA from 1 species